rnacentral:tRNA from 1 species
GGGAAGGUGGCUCAGUGGUAGAGCACUUGCCUUGCAUGCAUGAGGCCCUGUGUUUGAUUCCUUAGCACCCCA